UUCUGUGUUUUCACAAUCUUAUUGUCAAUUAAGUUUAGACUCUAUUUGGGUUGGUUUCUUAAAAGUCAAAAGCUGUUUUUAAAGCUUAAAAAGAGCUUUAAUACCUGUUUUAAUAAUUUUUUCAAAAGAGCUAUGAUUUAUAAGAGAGCUUAAUAUGGAAGUCAAGAAAAAUGUUGCCUCACCUUGAAAUUUGAUUUUGGCUUAUGAAGUAAGUUAUUUCAUGUUUACUAAAACUUUUACAAUGCGAAUAAUGCCUUGUGAAAAUUAUAACUUUGUGUUGACUUUAGCUUCUAGUUAAAGCAAAAAACAAAAAACUAUCUCAAACGAGGCCUUAGUUGCUUAUCUUUUUUGUCUUUGUAAUUUAUUUCACAUGUAGCAAUUGUAAUACAUGGUCCACCGGCAUAUCCAUCUGGAUCAUUCUAGUCUAUAGGCAUUUGGAGGCCUCAUAGCCCUCAAGCCAGACAUCUCUUAAUCUGAAACCUACAUGUAGUGUACAACACUGUACUUUUGAGAGAUCUGAAAGCUUGGUCCAUCUCAUAUUUUUAUCAUUCCUGUUAGUGUUGUAGCCUAUAUCAACUAGCUAUAAAUUGUUAGUCUAUUAUUACCUAACAACUUAAGCUUUUUGGUCAAAUUGAUAGGUUAACAUAGUAUCAGAAUUUUGUUAUUAGGGGAGGUCAUAAGUUUGAACCUCACUGCUUAUUUCUUUCUUUCAUUUAUUGAGUACACAUGAAAGCCCAAAAAAGUUGCUCAUGAGGACAAUUACUUAGCAAUUUAUGCUUUUGGGUUGAUUUGGCUGCUUAACAAUUCCCAAGUCCCAUUUUAAUUUGUGGUAAAUGACCUAAAGAUCCAGAUGCACCAGUCAGUGAGCGGCAUUUGCUGAUGAUAGGAAUGGGAGUUGGUUGAUUCCCACUUGACAUAUUAUUAUACAAUUAACCUUCUUUCUCUUCAAGGGGAAAAAGAAAUCAAAUUUGCUUACUCUGCUGUUUUGCUGCUAUAUAAUUGUUCAUGGAUACUGCAUCAUUCCUAUGAAGUAAUAAUGCAAUUUGUGCUUCUUUGUCCAAUUCUCUGUUGCUUGUGCUUUUUGUCUAAUUUUAUGUUACUUUCCAAGUUGUAACAUGUUCACAAAAGGCGUAUGAAAAUGUUGAUCAGUUUCAGUGAACAAUUCAGCAUAAGAUGAAGGCAAGACCAAGUAAUCAGCACAGUUUUUCCAUUCUGAACUGGCUAGACAUGAUAAUGUUCCCUGCCAAGCACAAAAUCUUUUAAUUUUUAAACACCAUUUUUUAUUGUUGGAACUUGGGAUUACAUGGAUGUCUAUUAGUUUCCCGCCUCAGUAUUUUAUUCUUUAAUGUUCCUGAAUUGGUGGCCUUAGCGGUUUCAAACCCAGGUUUGGUUGCGAUAAAGAGGGGCAUAAGCCUGCAUGCUAGCAGGUGGAUGUGGAUGGUAAAGCUAGGGAGUCUGAAGGGCCACAUGCUUGGGGUGAUGUACAGCAUGAAAGGAUAUGGGUGUCUAAUGGAAAGAAAUGUGGUCUGUUCCAAUCAGGCACACAUUGUGCUGUGGGAUUUGAAGUUAAAUGAGCUGGAGAAAGAAACUUAUGUUUCUAUUCCAUGAAAUGAUGUUAUGGAUAAUUCAACAAUUAGGACAGGUGCACUGCUUUCUUGUGAUGUAGCAUCUUUUGGAGGAGCAGAACCUUUUUCAGAGGCCACAGAGGUAGAGCAUUAUGACUUCUCAAAUGAGAUCAGUCAAUGCAGAGAUUAGGCCAAGCACCGCACCAUAACCUCACCCCUAUGGAAUAGCACCUUUUCCUAAU